rnacentral:lncRNA from 1 species
UGGAUUAAUCGUUUGGCGUACUCCAACCGUCGAGGAUUAGAGCAUUAAUCAGAAAUUUAGGAUUAAUCGGCUUUGGCGGGAUUAAUCGGUCAACAAAUGUAGCACCUGGUUUCCGGUAUGUGAAUUUUAUUUGAGCAUUGCCCUAAUUUAGCCUUAGCCUCGGCGAGUCAUAGGGUCCGACUCGCCGAGUAGGGACGAGACUCAGGACGCGUUUUAAGUAGGCGACUCGACGAGUCCAUAUCCUGGACUCGGCGAGUCACCGCUGCGGGAUGAAACCCUAAGUUUCAAGGGUUUGCACCCUAUUUAAACUCUCAUUCCGCCCCAACUCGUCCCCAUUCACCCCCAGAACUCCCCCUACAUCGUUUUCCCUUGUUUUCUUGAGAGUUUGAGGUAUUCUUGGUGUGUUCUUGAAGGUUUUGAAGAGUAAGAGGAGUAGAUCAAGAAGAGGAGAAGGAGAUCAGCCAUCCUUGUGUCAUUUCAACUUUUCCUUUGAGGUAUUCUUGGUGUGUUCUUGAAGGUUUUGAAGAGUAAGAGGAGUAGAUCAAGAAGAGGAGAAGGAGAUCAGCCAUCCUUGUGUCAUUUCAACAUUUCCUUUGAGGUAUAACCCGUUUUCCCCUUGAUUCUAUGCUUAAAACUUCAUUUGGGUCCUUCUUGGUCAAUUCCCCAAGUUUGCAUGUUCAUUAUAUGUUGUAAUAAGGCGUUUGGCCUUUGGAUCUAUGUAAGAUUGAGCUCCAGGAGCUCAGAUCUGUUAGCUUUCUGGCCUCAUGAGGCUUGUUAGCCCUAGAUCUACCAUUUUGAGACAUUUUGAGCCUUAUAAUCCAUAUUGGUGAAUAUCCACACGUAAAGUUGGAAACUUUACGUGUGAUUCGUGUCCUAGAAGUCCAGAUCUAUGAAUGGCAUGGUCUGGAACCGAGCAAAUCGGUAUAUUUAAGGAGUGCAUGGCGACGACUCGGCGAGUCGCAUAGGUGACUCGGCGAGUCUGGUCGCGAGUCACCGAAUUGGUC